GACGAACGCUGGCGGCGUGCCUAAUACAUGCAAGUUGAGCGCUGAAGGUUGGUACUUGUACCAACUGGAUGAGCAGCGAACGGGUGAGUAACGCGUGGGGAAUCUGCCUUUGAGCGGGGGACAACAUUUGGAAACGAAUGCUAAUACCGCAUAAAAACUUUAAACACAAGUUUUAAGUUUGAAAGAUGCAAUUGCAUCACUCAAAGAUGAUCCCGCGUUGUAUUAGCUAGUUGGUGAGGUAAGGGCUCACCAAGGCGAUGAUACAUAGCCGACCUGAGAGGGUGAUCGGCCACAUUGGGACUGAGACACGGCCCAAACUCCUACGGGAGGCAGCAGUAGGGAAUCUUCGGCAAUGGACGAAAGUCUGACCGAGCAACGCCGCGUGAGUGAAGAAGGUUUUCGGAUCGUAAAACUCUGUUGGUAGAGAAGAACGUUGGUGAGAGUGGAAAGCUCAUCAAGUGACGGUAACUACCCAGGAAGGGACGGCUAACUACGUG
rnacentral:rRNA from 1 species